AUUGAACGCUGGCGGCAGGCCUAACACAUGCAAGUCGAACGAGUGGCGGACGGGUGAGUAAUGUCUGGGAAACUGCCUGAUGGAGGGGGAUAACUACUGGAAACGGUAGCUAAUACCGCAUACCAUCAGAUGUGCGCAGAUGGGAUUAGCUUGUGGGUGGGGUAACGGCUCACCAAGGCGACGAUCCCUAGCUGGUCUGAGAGGAGGACCAGCAACACUGGAACGGGGACACGGUCCAGACGCCUACGGGAGGCGGCAGUGGGGAAUAUUGCACAAUGGGGGAAAGCCUGAUGCGGCCAUGCGGCGUGUAUGAAGAAGGCCUUCGGGUGGUAAAGUACUUUCAGAGGGGAGGCGUUACCCGCAGAAGAAGCACCGGCUAACUCCGUGCCAGCAGCCGCGGUAAUAC
rnacentral:rRNA from 1 species